UACGGAGGGUGCAAGCGUUGUCCGGAAUUACUGGGCGUAAAGCGCACGUAGGCGGCUUCUUAAGUCGGUGGUGAAAUCCUGGAGCUCAACUCCAGAACUGCCUUCGAUACUGGGAAGCUUGAGUUCGGGAGAGGUGAGUGGAACUGCGAGUGUAGAGGUGAAAUUCGUAGAUAUUCGCAAGAACACCAGUGGCGAAGGCGGCUCACUGGCCCGAUACUGACGCUGAGGUGCGAAAGCGUGGGGAGCAAACAGG
rnacentral:rRNA from 1 species